AGAUAGUUGGUGAGGUAAUGGCUCACCAAGUCAAUGACGCCUAACUGGUUUGAGAGGAUGAUCAGUCACACUGGAACUGAGACACGGUCCAGACUCCUACGGGAGGCAGCAGUGGGGAAUAUUGCACAAUGGAGGAAACUCUGAUGCAGCAACGCCGCGUGGAGGAUGACACUUUUCGGAGCGUAAACUCCUUUUAUAUAGGAAGAUAAUGACGGUACUAUAUGAAUAAGCACCGGCUAACUCCGUGCAGCAGCCGCGGUAAUACGGAGGGUGCAAGCGUUACUCGGAAUCACUGGGCGUAAAGAGCGUGUAGGCGGAUAGAUAAGUUUGAAGUGAAAUCCAAUGGCUUAACCAUUGAACUGCUUUGAAAACUGUCUAUCUAGAAUAUGGGAGAGGUAGAUGGAAUUUCUGGUGUAGGGGUAAAAUCCGUAGAGAUCAGAAGGAAUACCGAUUGCGAAGGCGAUCUACUGGAACAUUAUUGACGCUGAGACGCGAAAGCGUGGGGAGCAAACAGGAUUAGAUACCCUGGUAGUCCACGCCCUAAACGAUGUACACUAGUUGUUGCGAUGCUAGACAUUGCAGUAAUGCAGUUAACACAUUAAGUGUACCGCCUGGGGAGUACGGUCGCAAGAUUAAAACUCAAAGGAAUAGACGGGGACCCGCACAAGCGGUGGAGCAUGUGGUUUAAUUCGACAUACGCGAAGAACCUUACCUGGACUUGACAUAGUAAGAACUUUCUAGAGAUAGAUUGGUGUCUGCUUGCAGAAACUUAUAUACAGGUGCUGCACGGCUGUCGUCAGCUCGUGUCGUGAGAUGUUGGGUUAAGUCCCGCAACGAGCGCAACCCUCGUCGUUAGUUGCUAACAGUUCGGCUGAGAACUCUAACGAGACUGCCUACGCAAGUAGGAGGAAGGUGAGGACGACGUCAAGUCAUCAUGGCCCUUACGUCCAGGGCUACACACGUGCUACAAUGGGGCAUACAAAGAGCAGCAAUACGGUGACGUGGAGCAAAUCUCAAAAAUGCCUCCCAGUUCGGAUAGUAGUCUGCAACUCGACUACUUGAAGUUGGAAUCGCUAGUAAUCGUAGAUCAGCAAUGCUACGGUGAAUACGUUCCCGGGUCUUGUACUCACCGCCCGUCACACCAUGGGAGUUGAACUCAUUCGAAGCGGGGAUGCUAAAGUAGUUACCCUCCACAGUGGAUUCAGCGACUGGGGUGAAGUCGAACAAGGUAACCGUAGGAGAACCUGCGGUUG
rnacentral:rRNA from 1 species